CAUGCGUGGACGUCAUGUCGAGUACAAACGUGCGAGCUUAUCAAUUCGAGAACGCCAGCAGCGAUGGGCACACACGGCAGCAUGGCCUGGCCUCAUCUCAAGUUGGCAAAUACUUGGCAGAUACUUCUAAUUGGGUAAUGAGAACAAGGUAAGGUUAGCGAAUGGACAACAACAACAAGAGCAGCACUUCAAGCCACGCUGAGCAGCCCGAAGCACUUGCCAACAAGUCCCAAGAACAAGGAGUACGUAGAAUGCCAUAGAUAGCUCAGUAUUUGAGGAUCCUUUAACAAUGCUUUGGAGAGCGGCGCUGAGGGAAUUUGAUGGCGACUGAUAAAAUAGAUAUGUAUCUACGGACAAGUUGCUCGCUUGUGCUGAGAAAUCAGGUGAGUGCCGGGCUGCAAAUUAUAGCCUUGAUCGAACUAUUGUUAGAAAUUUGCGCCAGCCAGCAAGCCAUAUUCCAUGAUUGGAAACAAACAACAGCAGUUGAAAAAGCGCAUGAAUGGGGAAUUCUUAGCUUAAGACAGUCUAGCGAUUGUCGGAUUUAAUCACAUAAGAACAUUUGAAAUACAACUUUCAAAAAGUGUUGUAAAAUACGAAAUCUUAAAAGAAACCAGCUGCACGAACUCCAUAAUUCAUGGGUAAGUAUCGCACAUCUCCAAGCUUGGGCUACCAAUAAGAUAAACAAAUUUCUGU